rnacentral:rRNA from 1 species
GCUUGCUUCUUCUGAUGUUAGCGGCGGACGGGUGAGUAACACGUGGGCAACCUACCUUAUAGUUGGGGAUAACUCCGGGAAACCGGGGCUAAUACCGAAUAAUCUAUUUCCCCUCAUGAGGAAAUACUGAAAGACGGUUUCGGCUGUCACUAUAAGAUGGGCCCGCGGCGCAUUAACUAGUUGGUGAGGUAACGGCUCACCAAGGCGACAAUGCGUAGCCGACCUGAGAGGGUGAUCGGCCACACUGGGACUGAAACACGGCCCAGACUCCUACGGGAGGCAGCAGUAGGGAAUCUUCCACAAUGGACGAAAGUCUGAUGGAGCAACGCCGCGUGAGUGAAGAAGGAUUUCGGUUCGUAAAACUCUGUUGUAAGGGAAGAACAAGUACAGUAGUAACUGGCUGUACCUUGACGGUACCUUAUUAGAAAGCCACGGCUAACUACAUGCCAGCAGCCGCGGUAAUACGUAGGUGGCAAGCGUUGUCCGGAAUUAUUGGGCGUAAAGCGCGCGCAGGUGGUUUCUUAAGUCUGAUGUGAAAGCCCCCGGCUCAACCGUGGAGGGUCAUUGGAAACUGGGAGACUUGAGUGCAGAAGAGGAUAGUGGAAUUCCAAGUGUAGCGGUGAAAUGCGUACAGAUUUGGAGGAACACCAGUGGCGAAGGCGACUAUCUGGUCUGUAACUGACACUGAGGCGCGAAAGCGUGGGGAGCAAACAGGAUUAUAUACCCUGGUAGUCCACGCCGUAAACGAUGAGUGCUAAGUGUUGGGGGGUUUCCGCCCCCUCAGUGCUGCAGCUAACGCAUUAAGCACUCCGCCUGGGGAGUACGGUCGCAAGACUGAAACUCAAAGGAAGUGCACGGGGGCCUCCGCAUAAGCAGUGGAGCAAAGUGGUUUAAUUUCGAUUCAACGCCAAAAAAACCUUAGCACGGUCGUGACAUCCCAUUGACUACUGUAAGAUACAGUUUUCCCUUCGGGGUACGACGGUGACAGGUGGUGCAUGGGUGUCGUCAGCUC